rnacentral:rRNA from 1 species
AACACAUGCAAGUCGAGGGGAAACGACAUCGAAAGCUUGCUUUUGAUGGGCGUCGACCGGCGCACGGGUGAGUAACGCGUAUCCAACCUGCCCACCACUUGGGGAUAACCUUGCGAAAGUAAGACUAAUACCCAAUGAUAUCUCUAGAAGACAUCUGAAAGAGAUUAAAGAUUUAUCGGUGAUGGAUGGGGAUGCGUCUGAUUAGCUUGUUGGCGGGGUAACGGCCCACCAAGGCUACGAUCAGUAGGGGUUCUGAGAGGAAGGUCCCCCACAUUGGAACUGGGACACGGUCCAAACUCCUACGGGAGGCAGCAGUGAGGAAUAUUGGUCAAUGGACGAGAGUCUGAACCAGCCAAGUAGCGUGCAGGAUGACGGCCCUAUGGGUUGUAAACUGCUUUUAUAAGGGAAUAAAGUGAGUCUCGUGAGACUUUUUGCAUGUACCUUAUGAAUAAGGACCGGCUAAUUCCGUGCCAGCAGCCGCGGUAAUACGGAAGGUCCGGGCGUUAUCCGGAUUUAUUGGGUUUAAAGGGAGCGUAGGCCGGAGAUUAAGCGUGUUGUGAAAUGUAGAUGCUCAACAUCUGCACUGCAGCGCGAACUGGUUUCCUUGAGUACGCACAAAGUGGGCGGAAUUCGUGGUGUAGCGGUGAAAUGCUUAGAUAUCACGAAGAACUCCGAUUGCGAAGGCAGCUCACUGGAGCGCAACUGACGCUGAAGCUCGAAAGUGCGGGUAUCGAACAGGAUUAGAUACCCUGGUAGUCCGCACGGUAAACGAUGGAUGCCCGCUGUUGGUCUG